UAGGGAAUCUUCGGCAAUGGACGAAAGUCUGACCGAGCAACGCCGCGUGAGUGAAGAAGGUUUUCGGAUCGUAAAACUCUGUUGUUAGAGAAGAACAAGGGUGAGAGUAACUGUUCACCCCUUAACGGUAUCUAACCAGAAAGUCACGGCUAACUACGUGCCAG
rnacentral:rRNA from 1 species